CGGCGCGAGACGAGAGGUCGCGCUCCGUGCCCAGUGGAGCCGUGCGCCCGCGCGCGCAGGCGGCCUGUCUAGGUUAGGACCAUUUGUGUAUUAUGCUGCAUGGAGCCCCCCUCUUCCUAUGACCCGCCACAAUAAGAGCUGAGCAUUGAGAACCAGGCUAUUCUUAAUAAGACAAAAAAAAAGUAAGUCAACUACAGUAUCUUUGGUCUGGUCUUGCAAUCAACUUGCCUGUGUAAAUGGAGCAAUUUCACCUUCAGAAACAGUGUCCUAGUACCAGCAUGUUCAAGCAGCUGACUCAACCUUGUGUGAAAGCAUCCAGCAGCCUGGUUUGUGGAAUACAUAGUCUGCCUCAAUGUUAUUUUGUUACUCCUGUGUAGCUGUUUUCAAUACUGGCAUCAGCUCAUUUCAAUUUUCAAACUGACAACUUCAAGUAUUUUUCUUUACUUGGUAUUUAAAAUUAGAUAAGGAAACAUAGUUUUCCAAGAUAGUUUACUAUCUUUCAGUUUCAGAGCAUAUUUUCAGUAAUAGGUAAACAAAAGACCCUUUUUACAGUUUUUCAAUAUUAAUAUGAUAGGAAAAAAGGAUACAUUGUUUUCCCAUUAUAGAUGACAUUUUAGUAACAUUAAGUUCUGUCAUUUUAGUACUAUGUGUUAAUGAAAAAGAUCAAAUAAAAAACAUAUAACUGAUUACAUAUUUUGCAUGUUGUCCACUUUAUCGUUAAUAUCCUGUGAUAACGGCUUAUGCUAAUGGUGGAUGCCCUCAAAUAGCUGUGUCAGAAGACAGCUGAAAGCAAAAACCCUGAAAACUAAGAAGAGCAUGAAGUUACAUGAGAUUAAGCUGACUAAUUUGCUGAUUCAGUUGUGCCUUUGUUUUUGGUAUUGUCAUGCAAGAUCAAAAGUCAUACAGA